CACCGCGGUUAUACGAGAGGCCCAAGUUGACAGACAUCGGCGUAAAGCGUGGUUAAGGAAAAUUUAAACUAAAGCCGAACACCUUCAGGGCAGUUAUACGCAUCCGAAGGCACGAAGCCCCACCACGAAAGUGGCUUUAUGACUCCUGACCCCACGAAAGCUAUGACA
rnacentral:rRNA from 1 species